CGCGAGAAAAUAGCAACAAAGGAAAGAUUAGUCGCAUAAAGUUUUAAGGGAACAAGCUUUCCUUAUCGCAAGAUUUACCUCUAUCGUCACACAUUUUAAUGGGGACAACGAAAUUUUUCGUCGCAUAAACCAUUUUUUAAUUUUUUUUAGGAAAAAUUGUUUACAAACUGAAUAUUAAACAAAAUAAUUUUGUUUGGUUAAAUUUAAUUAGGAACAAUAAUUAAUAAAGAAGGAAAUUAAUUAAAAAUAAAUAUGUAAAUGUACAUACAAGCGGAAUUAAAAAAAAAAAGUACAAAUGUUUAAUUAAAAAACAAAACUCCAAUAGAAAGUCAUCAGAGUCAGCUACGCUAUCAGCUGUGCUGGGUCAAGAGCCUGGGAGGUCGCAGGUGUAGUAAAAUGAGGUGUAGCAAUGAGGAUGUUGAAGCCAGACAUUUGAAACGCAAUGAUCAU
rnacentral:lncRNA from 1 species